UGAUGGAUUUGCAGUAUGCCUAAUCUUGGACGUGUGCAAACCAACAUAGUUGUGAAUGAGCUCUGCUAGAUUGUCUCAGCUCAUGCCAUGAGCUUUGGUAGUGUGUCACUGCAAUGCGUAAUGUCCAUUCCUUCUGCCUUUUUCCUUUCUGUACAUUUGGAGAAAAAUGCACACAUGUUAUUUCUGCAUUUGACAAUUCCAUUUAGGUGUAAAAACCUGGCUUUGUUUUGUUCCUUUUUGUUCUCUGUACAGUUUUUGCACUGACCAAUGAACUGUGAUGUCCAUGAAUGCUAUUAAGGCACUGUUGAACUCCGCCUUUUCCUAUCUGUACAUUUGGAGAAUAAUGCAUACAUGUUGUCACAGCAAUUUUUUGUCGGGGUUCACAUGUUGUCACUAUAUGUAUGAGACUGACAUAGUAAGUUUUCCCCUUUACAGGAAGAUUAAAAGUUAAGUUCUCUGACGGUGAGUUAUGUGUGGUUUGAGGGGUUGCAGCUUGCCUAACAGAGGUUCCCUAAAAACGAUGUUUCAGGAAAAGUAAGCAGUAUUCUCUUCGACCGUCCGAUUUGUGUUGAUCGUGCUGCAAGUUGAUGCCUGGGUUUACAACUGGUGGUUUUUCCAUUCCUUAAUCCUCAUGUCUUCUUGUGUGCGUGUGUGUCACAUGUGCUUACAUCUAGGUUUGAUGCGAAUUUUCUUUUUACAGGGUGCUAGCCACUGUAGUUCUGUUUGUUUGUUCGUAGGACACAUGUGACAAACGGUGACAUUGCGGUCUCUUUACCUUCAUAUUCUUAUCUUGGUUUUGUUUCUUUCUGCGUGUAUCUACGCCAUGGCUGAACAUUCUUUGCUCAUUGAUAUGUGUAUGCACGGGUUUGUUCUUCUUCUAGAGAAUUAAGUUGGUGACUUUUAUUAUUGUUAAUUGCUCAGAGUGAUUGUUCUCAAAGUAGUCUUGAACAAUUAAUCAUUUGCAGGUAUUUAUCUAACCAUUAGUGGCUUCAGUUUCCUGUCAUCUUUCUUUUGGAAAUGGGAGUUGUUGUUGCUUCCCAGCUGUCGAAAAAAGAGAAGACGAUAAGCGAGACUACUACAGCGAGAGAGACGGUGGCCAAUAUUGUGUUAGUUGCCUGCUUUAUGCAAAACUAAAACAAGUGAGACUGAAAUGCUUUGGCAUGUAUUGGCUAAAUUAGAACGUAGUAUGAGAUUGGCAUAUGCAGGAUAACACUACAAGUUGACACACAUAGCAUGUAUUGGCUAAAUUAGAACACAUGAGAUUAUCAUAUGCUUUCUCAAAAAAGAAGAAGAGAGAUUGACAUAUGCAGGAUAACACUGCAAGUUGGCACACCUAGGCAAUUGGUUAAUGUUUUUUUGUUUUGUCUCUUUGCAUAGUGCCCAGGUAGUGUUUGCACAGAUUAUUUGUUAAAUUGUUAUGAUGUCUCUUUCUUUAUCAGCAUGUACAAAAGGUUCAGCAAAGUGGGACUCCCAAGUCUGCAACCACAAUAGAAAUAAGGUCAUGGAGCAAGAGUUCUGUUGGGCAUCCUUUGCAUUUAUCUUGUCAGGUUCCAUGCUUCAUAGCAUGUGUAUAAGCAUAGAAGUACACACAUACACUGCAGUUCGUAAUGUCACUUAAUAGGGGAUGCAUUAGGGUACUUUAUUUCCAUUAUAAACUGAUAAUAAUUAUGCGUUUAGAAAGGUAACAAUAAUCUGGGUUAUAGCAGAAUAUUAGAUGUGGUAUGCUUGUAUGAGUAGAAUGCAGAGUUUAUAAAUGAACUAAAAUCCGUGAGCAGGAAGUGGUAGGUUUAAUUUCAGUUAGAAAAAUAGGUUUACUGCAGCAUCAUAUAUUCAGGAAAUCCCUUGAUUGUUUUUGCCAUGUUCAGGCUUUAUACAUCGUUUGUAUAUGCAUAAAGUACGCCACAUGAACUGGAGUUCAUAGUGUCAGGAGUAAGAGGGGUGCAAGUAGUAGCAUGUUACAGGAUAAGAACGACUGUUUAGUUUAACAGUGCCCUUUAACAGUUUAACUCCAAAGAGGUCUGAUGAAAUGAAUUUUUGAUAUAUCUGAACUCUAGAGUAUAAGAUGCAUCUUCCUACUCUUCCUGAGAUCACGGUUAUCAUAACUAUUUAUUUGAGAUAUGCGAAGUGUUCCUUUGAUAGUAGAUGCAACUUGCAGCUAUUGUGGACAUUCGUUUGUUCGUGGGAAGUUUUGUCUCUUCCCUAUAGUCAAAGCUCAUGUGCAAUUUGGAGAAAAAUGCACACAUGCUAUCGCUGCAUUUGGUGGUUCCUUUUUUUAGCUAAAAAACCUGUCUUUGUUUUGCUCCUUUUUGUUCUCUGUUUAUUACUGUUAAUUGCUCAGAGCAUUGUUUCCAAAGUAGUCUUGAAUAAUUAAUCAUUUGCAUGUACCUAACCAAUAGCGGCUUACAUUUCCUGGUCAUUUUUCUUUUGGAAAUGGAAGUUAUUGCUUCCUAGGUGAGCUGAGGUGAUAACUGAACUCUCUUCUACUAUUGAGAAGAUUCAGUAUUCACUUAUAUUUUCAUUAGCCCAAGGAUAGUUUUUAUUGUGUUGUGGCUGUGGGCAGCUACCAAAAAAAGAAAAGAGGAUGAGCGAGAUUACUGCAGUGAGAGAUGGCGGCCACGAGAGCUAUGGAUGCAGGAGAGGGUUCAUGUUGUUUAUAUAGUUCCUCUAGGCCGUGUGUCUUUCCAUCCCCCGCUCCAGGAGAGGGUUCAUGUUGUUUAUUUUAUUAGUCGAAUAUAAUAUAAUAUGAGAUCACCUACCAUCGUCAUUCUUGAUUACAGUCUCAUACAAAAGUAGUCCAAUUAGUUGUACUAAUUCAUAAAUAUUUUUGGUAUGGUUCUUAUUUGGUUUCAA